GGGUGCCUCAGUCUGCUCUAAUCAGAGGGACCUUGCCCCCACUAGCCUUGGGCAGGUGACCUGUGGGAACACAGAGGGCUGAGCGUGGAUGAAGAAGACUCCGGCGGGAAGGGCCUGGCUCCCCAGCAAGGGAGCCACAGCCUCACUCGUCCUGCAACAAGACUGGCACGGGCAACAGACUAGGACAAGGUGGUAAGAAAAGAACAUUUUAUUUCCAGUCUAAGAAUGUAUUACAAACAGUGUCUGGGUUUAGAAGCAGGCGACAGUGAAGGGACAAAGAGAGGUGUUCACAGGGAGCUGCUGGGCUGUGGUCAGGGCAGGCUCCAGGCUGUGCAAGAGGAAGCCACCCAGGGCGAGGGACAAUGGGCCCAACACAGCCCCACCUCUGACGCAGGUGAGCCCAGCUGCUGAGCACCAAGCAGGGGCUGAGGCCUGGGCCAGGGGAAACACAGGCCAAACCAGCCUUCGGCCCUGCGAGGAGGUUCAGACGGGAGCCAGCGGAGCUCCCACCAGGGGCCCGAGGCACGGGGCCUCUCUGAGUGGGGUCAGCAGGCGAGGCUGUUCUGAGGACACCACCUGCUCCCGGAACCUUCCCACGAGGGAUUCACUGGGGAACAGUGGGGCCCAGAACCCCGCAAGCCAUGCAGCCUUCUGAGCUUCAGUUUCCUCCCAUAGAUGGGGAUGAGGCCCAGCGCACAAGGAGCCCAGGGGGGCUGGGCUGGUGGAUUCCAGGUGGCCGGAGCCUCUGUGGUAGGUUGGUGCUNNNNNNNNNNCUCUGUGCGCCGUCUCGGUGGCCGUGAUGUCGAUCUGGGCGUAGAGGGAGGCGCCAGCCCCUGAAAGAAUUCUGCAGUGAGCGGCAGCCUGCGCCCCCGAGCCACCCAGCCCUGUGACCCUGCCCUCCACACCAGUCCCCCAGCCAGGCCCUCGGAAGCAUCUGAGUGGGGACACCCUCAGGGGAUGUGGCCUGGCCAGGGAUAGAGUUGGGGAUGUUUGCCUCCUGGGGGGGAGGCCAUAGGAAAAGCUCCCUGGCCAAGGGCUGCUGGGUGGGGCUGGGUGGGGCUGGGGGCUCAGGGCCCUGAGGCUGUGGUCCCAGCCCCCCACUGUCAGGGCUUCCACGCAGGGCGGGGACCCACCUCGGACACCCUCGCUGGCC
rnacentral:lncRNA from 1 species